AAGUCGUAACAAGGUUUCCGUAGGUGAACCUGCGGAAGGAUCAUUAUUGAAAUAAACCUGAUGGGUUGUUGCUGGUUCUCUAGGGAGCAUGUGCACACCUUGUCAUCUUUAUAUCUCCACCUGUGCACUUUUUGUAGACCUUUUCAGGUCUAUGUUGCCUCAUUUUACCCCAAUGUAUGUCAAUAGAAUGUUGUGCCUAUAUAUAAUAUAUACAACUUUCAGCAACGGAUCUCUUGGCUCUCGCAUCGAUGAAGAACGCAGCGAAAUGCGAUAAGUAAUGUGAAUUGCAGAAUUCAGUGAAUCAUCGAAUCUUUGAACGCACCUUGCGCUCCUUGGUAUUCCGAGGAGCAUGCCUGUUUGAGUGUCAUUAAUAUAAUCAACCUUCUCUUGUUUUGAGAAUGGUUUGGAUGUGGGGGGUUUGCUGGCCUCUCUCAAAAGGUUCAGCUCCCCUGAAAUGCAUUAGCAGAGCAACCUUUGCUCAUUGGUGUGAUAACUAUCUACGCUUAUGAAUAUGAGGGGCAGUUCAGCUUUCUAACGGUCUUUGGACAAUUCAUCAUUAAUGUGACCUCAAAUCAGGUAGGACUACCCGCUGAACUUAA
rnacentral:rRNA from 1 species